rnacentral:sRNA from 1 species
AUGCGCAGAUCGGUCAACCGUUGAAGGGGCGUCCCUGACGCUAGGUCAAGGGCGGUGUUCCUGUGUUCUUAGGGCCCCAGGAAGCGAGUCUGAGUGGAACCUGGCUGGGGUAGGCUGAAAGGUGACUUCGACGCUCUUUUCUGUGGCCUCAGACUUGUGUGUGAGGACUGCCCUGUAGAAUUAGUGCUGUGACCCCGAGUAACAAUGCGCGCUUGAGUUGGUAUAAACUCCUGAAGAGUGUAGUCCUGCAAUUUACAAGAAAAAGUUAAGUGUAAAAUAGCCUCAGGCAUGUCAUUCAGGAGGGAUUCCAGAGGCAUUGUUAUAGACGAUGACAGCUGUAUGUGUGUUAUCGCCACUGAAGACCUUCCAUGGGACGCGAUGUGGAGCUGGAAGACAGUGAUAUUGAUGAUCCUGACACAGUCCUAGGAUAAGGUGAUGACUUGGCUGACACUCACUCCAGUGCCUGGACCACUUUCCAAAUAUGGAUCUUUAACUUUAUUAAAAGCUACUGAGCUACAGAAUACAAACCAACUGAAAACAUUAAAGAAAGGCUGCCUGAAACAA